rnacentral:rRNA from 1 species
GAUGAACGCUGGCGGCGUGCUUAAUACAUGCAAGUCGAACGCAUAGCGAAAGGUGCUUGCACCUUUCAAGUGAGUGGCGAACGGGUGAGUAACACGUGGACAACCUGCCUCAAGGCUGGGGAUAACAUUUGGAAACAGCUGCUACUACCGAAUAAAACUUAGUGUCGCAUGACACAAAGUUAAAAGGCGCUUCGGCGUCACCUAGAGAUGGAUCCGCGGUGCAUUAGUUAGUUGGUGGGAUAAAGGCCUACCAAGACAAUGAUGCAUAGCCGAGUUGAGAGACUGAUAGGCCACAUUGGGACUGAGACACGGCCCAAACUCCUACGGGAGGCUGCAGUAGGGAAUCUUCCACAAUGGGCGAAAGCCUGAUGGAGCAACGCCGCGUGUGUGAUGAAGGCUUUCGGGUCGUAAAGCACUGUUGUAUGGGAAGAACAGCUAGAAUAGGAAAUGAUUUUAGUUUGACGGUACCGUACCAGAAAGGGACGGCUAAAUACGUG